AUUGACCGCUGGCGGCAGGCCUAACACAUGCAAGUCGAACGAGUGGCGGACGGGUGAGUAAUGUCUGGGAAACUGCCUGAUGGAGGGGGAUAACUACUGGAAACGGUAGCUAAUACCGCAUACCAUCAGAUGUGCCCAGAUGGGAUUAGCUUUUGGGUGGGGUAACGCCUCACCAAGGCGACGAUCCCUAGCUGGUCUGAGAGGAUGACCAGCCACACUGGAACUGAGACACGGUCCAGACUCCUACGGGGGGCAUGAGGGGGGAAUAUUGCACAAUGGGCGCAAGCCUGAUGAAGCCAUGCCGCGUGUAUGAAGAAGGCCUUCGGGUUGUAAAGUACUUUCAGCGGGGAGGCGUUACCCGCAGAAGAAGCACCGGCUAACUCCGUGCCAGCCGCCGCGGUAAUUC
rnacentral:rRNA from 1 species